GUGUGUCAACUCAAGCCCUAACUUUUAACAAGAAAAAAAAAACUCUUCUCCAAAUUACUUUUUCUUUAUCUUAUUCUUUUCACAGGUAAUAUUGUUUAUCUGGAAACGAUUGAAAUCUCGAAAUGUUAAUAAUUACUGUCAAUUUGAUGAUCGGGGCCAUCUUACAGAACACGAUGUUACAUUUGUCUAAAAAGGUACUGAACAAUUAUACCCAAACAUCUGAUGUUGCGAAGAAAAUCUGUAUCCCUUUUAGUAACUGAACAAAGAGAGAAAAUUGCCUGUUCGAAACAUCAAACAAUAAUUGAUAUAUACAUUUAUAAUGGUUGGUUGAAUCCUCCCACAAAAGAUUUACAAAAAAUG
rnacentral:lncRNA from 1 species